rnacentral:tRNA from 1 species
UCAUUGGUGGUUCAGUGGUGGAAUUCUUACCUUCCAUGAGGGAGACCUGGGUUUGAUUCCCAGCCAAUGUA